rnacentral:RNase_P_RNA from 1 species
CGAGUUGGCUGGGCGGCCGCGGCGCGCUGGUCCGAGAGGUCCAGUGGCGUCGAGGAAAGUCCGGACUUCACAGAGCAGGGUGAUUGCUAACAGCAAUCCGAGGUGACUCGCGGGAAAGUGCCACAGAAAACAGACCGCCACCCUCGUGGUGGUAAGGGUGAAACGGUGCGGUAAGAGCGCACCAGCAUUCCGGGUGACCGGAAUGGCUUGGUAAACCCCACCCGAAGCAAGGCCAAGAAGACCGCAUUACGGUGCGGUCGCGCAGGCGUUAGAGGGUUGCUCGCCCGAGCCUGCGGGUAGGCCGCUUGAGGCACCCGGCGACGGUGUGUCCAGAUGGAUGGUCGCCGCCAUACCGCCAGGCAUGGUGGUGUGGAACAGAAUCCGGCUUACAGGCCAACUCGCCCG